rnacentral:tRNA from 1 species
GUUCCGGUAGCUCAGUUGGUUAGAGCAGCGUCCUCUUAAGUCGAAGGUCCUCGGUUCGAGUCCGAGUCGGAAUAC